rnacentral:RNase_P_RNA from 1 species
UUAUCUGGGUAAUCGAGCAGACAUUUUGUCUGUUAGGAAAGUCCAUGCUAGCACAAGCUGAGAUGCUUGUAGCGUUUGUGCUAAACGAAAAAAUAAGUUUAGGCGUUUGAAGAGAUUCAAGCGACGGCGAAGAAAUGGAUGUAAAAGGCCAAAGUAUUCUAAAAAGUGCCACAGUGACGAAUCACAUAAAAUAUAUGUGAGUGAAACGGGUAAACCCCUCAAGCUAGAAACCCAAAUUAUGGUAGGGGCACGGUCAAAGAAGAAUUCAAUUCAUUUGACUGACAGCUUAAGCUGGAGAUAAAUGAUUACCGGUCUUUUUAAUUAAAGACUACAGAACAUGGCUUAUAAGA